UCCUACGGGGGGCAGCAGUGAGGAAUAUUGGUCAAUGGUCGGGAGACUGAACCAGCCAAGCCGCGUGAGGGAUGAAGGUACAGAGUAUCGUAAACCUCUUUUGUCAGGGAACAAAGGCGGGGACGUGUCCCCGGAUGAGUGUACCUGAAGAAAAAGCAUCGGCUAACUCCGUGCCAGCAGCCGCGGUAAUACGGAGGAUGCGAGCGUUAUCCGGAUUUAUUGGGUUUAAAGGGUGCGCAGGCGGUCUGUUAAGUCAGCGGUCACAGCCCGGGGCUCAACCCCGGCCCGCCGUUGAAACUGGCAGG
rnacentral:rRNA from 1 species